rnacentral:rRNA from 1 species
UACAGAGGUCCCGAGCGUUGUUCGGAUUCACUGGGCGUAAAGGGUGCGUAGGUGGCUUUGCAAGUCUGAUGUGAAAUCUCCGGGCUUAACCCGGAAAUGGCAUUAGAAACUGUGAGGCUUGAGGCUUGGGGGGGAACUGGAAUUCUCGGUGUAGCAGUGAAAUGCGUAGAGAUCGAGAGGAACACCAGUGGCGAAGGCGAGUUCCUGGACAAGUCCUGACACUGAGGCACGAAAGCCGGGGAGCAAACAGG